CCUACGGGAGGCAGCAGUGAGGAAUAUUGGUCAAUGGACGAGAGUCUGAACCAGCCAAGUAGCGUGAAGGAUGACUGCCCUAUGGGUUGUAAACUUCUUUUAUCAAGGAAUAAAACGACGCACGUGUGCCUUUUUGCAUGUACUUUAUGAAUAAGGAUCGGCUAACUCCGUGCCAGCAGCCGCGGUAAUACGGAGGAUCCGAGCGUUAUCCUGAUUUAUUGGGUUUAAAGGGAGCGUAGAUGGGUUGUUAAGUCAGUUGUGAAAGUUUGCGGCUCAACCGUAAAAUUGCAAUUGAUACUGGCAGUCUUGAGUACGGUUGAGGUAGGCGGAAUGCGUGGUGUAGCGGUGAAAUGCAUAGAUAUCACGAAGAACCCCGAUUGCGAAGGCAGCUUACUAAACUGUGACUGACAUUGAGGCUCGAAAGUGUGGGGAUCAAACAGGAUUAGAUACCCCAGUAGUC
rnacentral:rRNA from 1 species